CAGAGCUGCCCCACCUACCCUGCAGAGGCAGCUCAGGCUGCCUUGGGCUACUGGGCUGGGAUCAGAGGUCACAGGCCCAAGGCGCAGGGAUGGAGGACAGUGACGCGUCCUGCACUGGAGCCGGGAGCCGGAGGCUCGGGGCUUCAGGUGCUCGCCAGGGCCGUGAAGGGGCUGUCACCGGCCCUGCAGCCCAGAGUCCCCACCUGAGGGCUUCCACCGCGGCCCCCUCUGCGGCCCAGAGUUCCAGUGCUAAACCGGAAAUGAAGGCACAUGUGUGUUCACCUUG